AUUGAACGCUGGCGGCAGGCCUAACACAUGCAAGUCGAACGAGUGGCGGACGGGUGAGUAAUGUCUGGGAAACUGCCUGAUGGCGGGGGAUAACUACUGGAAACGGUAGCUAAUACCGCAUACCAUCAGAUGUGCCCAGAUGGGAUUAGCUAGUUGGUGGGGGAACGGCUCACCAAGGCGACGAUCCCUAGCUGGUCUGAGCGGAUGAACAGCCAAACUGGAACUGAGACACGGUCCAGACUCCUACGGGAGGAAGGAGGGGGGAAUAUUGCACAAUGGGCGAAAGCCUGAAGCAGCCAUGCCGCGUGGAUGAAGAAGGCCUUCGGGUUGGAAAGGACUUUCCGAGGGGAGGCGGUACCCGAAGAAGAAGGACCGGCUAACUCCGUGCCAGCAGCCGCGGUAAUUC
rnacentral:rRNA from 1 species